AUUGAACGCUGGCGGCAGGCUUAACACACGCAAGUCGAGCGGAGAUGAGGUGCUUGCACCUUAUCUUAGCGGCGGACGGGUGAGUAAUGCUUAGGAAUCUGCCUAUUAGUGGGGGACAACAUUCCGAAAGGAAUGCUAAUACCGCAUACGUCCUACGGGAGAAAGCAGGGGAUCUUCGGACCUUGCGCUAAUAGACGAGCCUAAGUCGGAUUAGCUAGUUGGUGGGGUAAAGGCCUACCAAGGCGACGAUCUGUAGCGGGUCUGAGAGGAUGAUCCGCCACACUGGGACUGAGACACGGCCCAGACUCCUACGGGAGGCAGCAGUGGGGAAUAUUGGACAAUGGGGGGAACCCUGAUCCAGCCAUGCCGCGUGUGUGAAGAAGGCCUUAUGGUUGUAAAGCACUUUAAGCGAGGAGGAGGCUACUGAGACUAAUACUCUUGGAUAGUGGACGUUACUCGCAGAAUAAGCAUCGGCUAACUCUGUGCCAGCCGCCGCCGUAACAC
rnacentral:rRNA from 1 species